AUAAAUAAUUUAGAGAGUCUACGUAUAAUCCCAAUGAUAUGGUUUGGGAGUUUCUACCAAGAACCGAUAAUUCUUGAUUACGAAGGAGUUUUACAUGAUU
rnacentral:ncRNA from 1 species